ACACUAAUUUUGUCAUGUAUGAAAAAAGAGGUCACUGAAUGGUUCCCACCAGAUCACUUUUAACUUUCUUUCUUUACUCCAUGUUUAUUAUUCCUGCCGGUGGAUUAAAAACUUUGGGCCGUAGUAACAUCAGCUGUAUGCGAGACAAGUCAUGACAUGCUCGUCUGUUCUGUCUGUGACUGUCGUGCAUCAUUUUAUCAGGGAAGUCCUGGUAGCGGCAGCAGUAGGCCAAAAGCAGGUGGAGCUACAAGGUCUCAGGUGAGGUUAGUGGAUACGACUAGCUGUGAGGUCAUGAGUUUUAUGAAACUGAAGAGUUAAUAAUUAUAGAGGAUUUUAUUUAUACAGUUUAAAGAUAGUUGUACAGAGAAACUAUUCUAAAUUUUUUAUCUGUUGAUUAAAAACAGAAGCUCACUAUCUUGUAAGAUAGUUUAGAAAAAGACUUAUUACAGAAACCUAUAACAUUAUUGUUGUCUCAGAGGAAAUUCUUAAAAUAAUAUGUUAAAUGUAAUUUAAAAAGUCAAUGAGAAAAUAAUCCUGAAAAGUCCUGAUUUUGGCAAAUUAUGAACAUUAAGUAAUGAUGACUAAUGAGGGAUUUAUUCUUCUGCGUUGCAUCGAUGUUGUACCCUAUGCCGCAGCCUGAUGUGCACCUGCCGCCUUCAUAUUAGUAGAAGAAGUCUCUGCUGGUUGCUAGGCUAAUUUAUACAAUGUAAGAUGCUGUAGGCUUGUGCUAAUAACGUUAGCAUGUUGUAUGUAUUUAGAAAACAUGUUAAGUUAAAGACAGUUUUUUUGUCAGUGAACCUUGUGAGUUGUAAUGGAGCCGCAUUUCAUAAUGUUAACUUUGUUAAAUGUUGCUGUUGUCCCUGGCUUCAUAUGAGUAGAGGAAAAGUCCACUAGCUGCUAGGCUAAUUUAUACAAUGUAAAAUGCCAUAGGCUUGUGCUAAAAACGUUAGCAUGUUGUAUUUGUGGGGAAAAUGUGUCCAGAUAAAGACAAAUGUUUGUCUGUUAAUGCUGCGAGUUAUAGUGAAGCUGACGGCGUAGGGUCUGCCGCACAAGUAUAAAUCCCCCUUAAUUUGCUCAUUUUCAUUUUCUCCCAUGAUUCCGACAUAACACCAGUUGUUAGAGAGACUUAAAAGGGGCAAAGUCUUGAUUUUAAGGACUGGAAUUUAUACAUGCCUCUGAGAUUUAUUUAAACACAUUACAGGAAGAGAGAGUUGUAUUUGAUACAGAAAUUGGAUAAUGCAAGCGGGUGCGCUGGAGUUUUGAUGAUGUGUAUCUUUCCCCCAGGUACUGGAGUACUGGAGUCAGCACCUCAAACACCUCCAAAGGAAACAAAGACAGACAGGUACAAAGAGAAAGACAGAGAGAGAGAGAGAGACAGACAGGAGUUGGGGAAGGAAGAGCAGAGGGGUUGAGGAUCAGGACGACACAAAUAAGGUUGA